GGCCUAACACAUGCAAGUCGAGCGGGCACUUUCGGGUGUCAGCGGCGGACGGGUGAGUAACGCGUGGGAACGUGCCCUCUGGUUCGGAAUAACUCAGGGAAACUUGAGCUAAUACCGGAUACGCCCUGUGGCUUUGGUGCUGCUGGGGAAAGGCUUGCUGCCGGAGGAUCGGCCCGCGUCUGAUUAGCUAGUUGGCGGGGUAACGGCCCACCAAGGCGACGAUCAGUAGCUGGUCUGAGAGGAUGAUCAGCCACACUGGGACUGAGACACGGCCCAGACUCCUACGGGAGGCAGCAGUGGGGAAUAUUGGACAAUGGGCGCAAGCCUGAUCCAGCCAUGCCGCGUGAGUGAUGAAGGCCUUAGGGUUGUAAAGCUCUUUUAUCCGGGACGAUAAUGACGGUACCGGAGGAAUAAGCCCCGGCUAACUUCGUGCCAGCAGCCGCGGUAAU
rnacentral:rRNA from 1 species